GUGGUUGUAGCUCAAUUGGUUAGAGCGCCGGUCUGUGGCACCGGAGGUUGCGGGUUCAAUCCCCGUCAGCCACC
rnacentral:tRNA from 1 species